rnacentral:rRNA from 1 species
UACGGAGGGUGCAAGCGUUGUCCGGAUUUAUUGGGUUUAAAGGGUGCGUAGGCGGCUCUUUAAGUCAGUGGUGAAAGCCUCCAGCUUAACUGGAGAACAGCCAUUGAUACUGAAGAGCUUGAGUACAGACGAGGUAGGCGGAAUUUAUGGUGUAGCGGUGAAAUGCAUAGAUACCAUAAAGAACUCCUAUUGCGAAGGCAGCUUACUAGGCUGUAACUGACGCUGAGGCACGAAAGCGUGGGGAGCAAACAGG